CGCGGUACGGGGCAGGGUGCGGGGGGACCCAGCCGCAGGGGACAAACAGCGGCGGCUCCGGGGCUCACGCCGCUCGCACGGCUGGCUGUGCACAUGUUCCUGCGCGGAACACGGGCGUGUGUGUCUGUACCGGAGAUGCAGAUAUAUAUACGGGGCUUGAUUUAUAUCUAAUGGCACGUAUAAAGCUUUUGAAGGUGGCUGCAAUGUAAAAAGUAAUGACUUUAUUACCCCUGAAAGGUUCUGCGGUUCGCAGUUAACACUCCUCUGAAUUACAAUUCAUUACGCUCUCUAAAGCCAACCUGCAUCAGAGCACCUACCUGUGCUUAUUCCCAAUCACAGGCAUCGUUUCAUUGAUUUUCUUUUUCAAAAAUCAUAGCAAAUUAAGCACUUGGUGACAACUAAAUCUGUUUCAUUACCGUGCCGUGUUUGAGAUUCCAGAGGUGACUUCCCAGACCGCAUCUCAAAACCUACAGUCAGGAGCUAAUUUUACAGAUGCUUUCAUGAACGGCAGCGAGGAUGUUCUUACCAUCAGCAUGCCCUUAAUUCCAGCACUGUAAAAAUGCCUCGAUUUAAAUGGAAACUCGCUGCCUUAAAAAUAAUAUUUCAUCCUGGCUGGAUAAUUAUUAAUAUUAGCAUUUGAUCGCAAUAGUGCUGGCUCCCCCUCGUUUCUGUAUCCCCCCCCCCACCCCACAGCGCUUCGCAUUGUCAUGUGAUUGGAGGGAGAUAACAAACCUCAAGAAAGAAAAGGAGUGAGAAGACAUUUUUAACACGGCAUGACCGCAGAUUAAUAAUGCAGGUUGGAAGGGCAGGUGGAAACAAACCCAGGCCAGCACAGGUGACAGUGAUCACGUUCUGUGGAUUAACACAAGCCUGUGUCACCUCCUGCUCCACAAUCGUUCUUUGCCCAGGCUGCAGGGGAUGCCUCGCAGCCGUGCUGCAGCGUUUGGAGCUGCUGUCACCCUGGCCAUGUUAUCAGCUGCUCUCUGGCUACACACUCCUAGCCCCAGAGCAAAGUCAGCUGGAGGGAAUGUGGCCCUACACCUCAGCAAAUUGUCAGGUACACACUGAAAUCAGAGCCAUGGUGGGUUUGAGGCUGCCUCCAAGGGGAAGCUAACCUUAGAGAAGGGUCUGUCUCAUUAGCUGAGUGCCCAUCCCAGCUCAGGCUGUCCCAUGUGAAGCAGAGCCUUGAGACACCAGCUCAUGCCCUGGAGCAGCUGAGAGCAGAGAUGGGCACCCAUCCCUGUACCACAGCAAUGGCAGUAACCUGCAGCAGCAGGACAAAGUGCCCAGGUGAGAAGAUUCUUAGUGUAAGAUUUAAACCUGCCAAAAUGUGUCCGUCCCUAUCCUCGUACCUCAGCUCUCUGCCUGAGAAACAGCGUGGUCCUCCCUACAUUCAAGCACCUGAGAUUCUUAGAGGUUGCUGUAGAAAGACAUAAAAUUAACAUUGAGAAGUGUGGCCUUUCUCCAUCCAGGCAGGCACCCAGGACUGGGACCUGAAGGUGCAAAGGAGUGUGGCACAGUUCAUGCCACGUACUGCUGUCCCUGCCUAUCUGCUAAUUUAGUGACAGACUUGGCAGUGGGUGAGUUCAGCAACUUUGGUGGGCAAAUGUUCCUGCUUCAAAGCUCCAACUGUCACUCACUCAGAGCAGGAAUCUCACUUGCCAACAUUACAGAACAUUAGGACCAAACACAAAUUCCAAAACUCUGCCAGUUCCCCCGAGCUGGGCUGCAUUAUAUAACGGCAGAUCGCACGGGGUGCUUUCCCACACCGUCUUGAUAGUCUCAAUCAGGCGGAGGCAACGUGGGUGGAACUCUUAUCACACCAGGCUGACUCCCGUGAAUGAGCAGAGGACUAUUUCUAGAAUGUGCAUUAGUAUUCCCGCAGGAGAAACUUGGGCGCGCUGCUUCGCCUUUUCUCCUUUUUUUUCCCCCCCUUUUAAUAAAGGCUCAAAAUAAACUGAUUUUGCAAGCUCUUACUAGCAAGCACAGCGCAGACAGCAGCGAGUCCGUGCAGGAUCACAGACACCUGAGCGCCAGGUGACACAAAGAUUUCGUUAUCGGCUCGCCCUAGGCAGGACCUGGAAUAAAAUCCUGAACUUUGGGAGAAUUUUUUUUCCAUGGGUUUCAGCAAGGCCUGGGAUUUCAGCCUGCCUCUGCUUGCACAGCACCUAGCACGAUGGAGCCCUGAACCUUGAAUGGGCUUUCUGGGGAUGACUAAAAAAUAAAUGGCACAAAGUGCUCAGGGAACAGACUUUGAAGUGGCAAAAACCCUCCCUUGAAGCACACAAAGAGUUUUGCUUGUGUGUGGGCAGACAGAGGAAGGCAUUACUAAAAAUCUCAUUUUUAAUCAAAUAUUUGAUUUCAGCCAAACUGGGUUUAGUCUGCACUACUUAUUUAGUUGUCAUAUUGUAGGUUUAAUAUUUAUACAUCUUUUUAUAAGUAAACACGUAACCUGCCCCUGAGCAUUUCUAUGCUACAUUUCAAGCAGACAUGAUUUAAACUAUGUGCAUUUAAAACCUCCCAGAACCUGACCUAUAAUGCAAAUCCAUACAGUCUUAAUUAUUGCAGCACCAGCAGCCAUAGCACGAGUGAGCAGCUGAGCUGUUGUUGCUAAAGAGGCACAGUAGUUAUGGUCUGUCAGUGCUCCUGUUACAAUCCCCAUCUUGAAGAGGUUAUAACUUGGGCUGUGUAAAUUUGAUUGAACUGAAACUUGGGACUCCAACUGUCAGUCCAUAUAGGGAAUUAUCUUAUGAAUAAUUGGCUAACCCAUUGCUUGAUUCACAGACUUUUAUAAAAUGAUUUUUAAUGGGUUUUAAUGUUUUUUUCUUUUACUGACAUCUAGGGUAUGAAUUUGGUACUUCUAGUUCUUCUGAAGCUCCAUACUCACUGGAAUAUGUAUAGAAACCCAAGGUAAAGCUACAGCUACUUUGAGGAUUUCACAGGGCACACCUGCCACCCUGACCCACCUGCGUGUUCCUAUACCCUGAGAAGAGGGCAGGAACAAGAAAUGACACUUUAGUUAUCUCCAAAGAGGGUCCUAAAUGUGUAAGAUAAAGAGAACAUAAAUAAAUGUCUUUGCUAACAGA